rnacentral:rRNA from 1 species
AUUGAACGCUGGCGGCAGGCCUAACACAUGCAAGUCGAACGGGAACAGGAAGAAGCUUGCUUCUUUGCUGACGAGUGGCGGACGGGUGAGUAAUGUCUGGGAAACUGCCUGAUGGAGGGGGAUAACUACUGGAAACGGUAGCUAAUACCGCAUAACGUCGCAAGACCAAAGAGGGGGACCUUCGGGCCUCUUGCCAUCGGAUGUGCCCAGAUGGGAUUAGCUAGUAGGUGGGGUAACGGCUCACCUAGGCGACGAUCCCUAGCUGGUCUGAGAGGAUGACCAGCCACACUGGAACUGAGACACGGUCCAGACUCCUACGGGAGGCAGCAGUGGGGAAUAUUGCACAAUGGGCGCAAGCCUGAUGCAGCCAUGCCGCGUGUAUGAAGAAGGCCUUCGGGUUGUAAAGUACUUUCAGCGGGGAGGAAGGGAGUAAAGUUAAUACCUUUGCUCAUUGACGUUACCCGCAGAAGAAGCACCGGCUAACUCCGUG